CCGAGCAUGAAUUAGGCAUCUUCCUCAUUCUCUCUUGCCCCAUCCGAUAUGGCGGUGAGGUCAACUUAUGAUUUAGCGCUCAAUGCGGCAUAUACGUCACCCAAGAAAGUCGCACAUGCGCAACAAGUCCAUCUACCUGACUCACUGAACCCGUGAGCCCACGUCAGGUUCAGGAUUUACAUGAGGAUUCACAGUGUAUUACCGAAUUAUGCCAGUCACGCAAGUUAACGCUGCCAACUUUGGAGCUAAAAAGAUAAAAUUCCUCUAUACCAUUGUGGAAAAUAUUUAAGCUCAGUCUUUGGUGAUCCACAAUAUAGUUAAGACAUUCACGAUCCUUGAGGGGAGGGUUCUCACGUCCAUUUCCAGGUCAUGUGGUUGUUGUAGCGAUUGAGCAGUUUAUAAGGUGGUGUUGUUGUCUUCCUUCUCUGUCUGUUGGCCUUAUGCACUGCCCCCCCUUCAGAUGAUCGAUGUGGAAACAUUAGAAAUGCCAAGAAUUGUUAACAUUCGUUAACACAAUUGUUAACAAGACAUUUAUUUUUCUCUAAAGAUUAAACUGCUACAUUUCAAUAAUAUGACUAUGUACAACAUGGAUAGCAAAAUAAACACAAAUAAAUAAAUAAGGGACGGUUUAUUUGAGGCAAGAAGCAGAUCUGUUGCUUUUUCCCACUGGGUUAAUACGUUUAUAGAAAUGCAGUUAGAGUAACAGUUGCACAAUUAAUGUCUUGUUACCUGGUUUCCUUUUUAAUUUAGCUAGCGGCAAUAGUGGUAACUGAACGAGUUAACAGAGACGAAUACCCCCAAGUCACAGUUCAGUUACAUUACCUGCAACACGAAAGAAGAAUAGCAUGUAGCUAGCCACUUCUUCUACGGUCAAAGCAAUUUCAUGAUCACAAUGGCCCUCUGGUGUCCUUGAGAAAGACAUAUGCAGGGAAUGAAGAUAAAGUAAAGUAAAAAAAGACACCCAUCACACAAUUUUUCCAGAGGGGAAAGAAAAGGUGGAGAUGUUCCGCCGUGUGCUUGGGAAGACCUUGGGGUUUGUGGGCUACACCAUCCAGUAUGGCUGCAUUGCACAUUGCGCCUUUGAGUACAUCGGAGAGAUUGUGGUGUGUUCCGGUCCAUCAAUGGAGCCCACCAUUGUAAACAAAGAUGUCGUUUUCUUGGAACGGAUGAGUCGGCAUCUUUGCAAAAUACAAAAGGGUGAUAUUGUCAUUGCAAAAAGCCUUUUUGACCCCAAUAUGAAUAUUUGUAAAAGGGUAAUUGGCUUGGAAGGUGACAAAGUCUGCACAAGUGGUCCAUCAGAUCUUUUCAAGACCCACACAUAUGUGCCAAAAGGCCACGUAUGGCUUGAAGGCGAUAACCUUACGAACUCGACUGACUCAAGGAGCUAUGGCCCAGUUCCCUAUGCCCUCAUCAGAGGCCGUGUUUGCUUGAAGGGCAUAAGAGUACAUUCACAUAGUGAGCUGUUGGAAGCUCAGCUGGUCAUUCUCCGAGGCAGAGAGGGACUCUUCUUCUUCCUCCCAAGCUCCCUAAGGGAAGUGUGUUCCAGGCAGCCGUGGGUCCCUGUCCAGCUGCUUCCUCUGUCUGGAGGGGGGCCAGAGGGUCAGCGACAAGGCUCCGUGUGACACUGAAUUAUCUGCCUGAGUGUGAUUGUGCCUGCUGGGAGGGAUGCUCAAGAUUGUGAGAGAGUAUGUGUGUGCAGCUGAAGAAGAAAAAUCUUUAUGUGGGCUUUUGCUUCAAGCACAUCUUUGUUUGUCAAGGUUUAAUAUUCAUCUGCUGCGUGUCAACACGGUGCCAGUGUUGGGCUGAAAUGCUGACACGAGUAAUCUUGGAGUGUCCCCUUAAAAAUGCUGGCCUAUAGAGGGAGCCCUGCUUGGAUGAAUCCUCUGUUUAAUAGCUGAAGUAAGAGUGAAGAUGCUUAUGUCAUCAAAGGACUGAAAUACAAAUGAGAUGCGCAGUUUGUCUUCAUGAUGCUGAGUGGGCACCAAAUAUGCAACGUGCUAAAACCACACAGGCUUUGGAACAACAGAAAACUGAGUCAAUAUAAUACAUCAGUACAGUCAGAGUGCAUUGUUGAACAGUAGGCUGUUCGUGUAUAUUGUUUACAAUGGAAAAUUUGUCUUGCUUAAGGUGAUGAGCACCGGUGGUAGUCUCAUUCAACCCACCCUCCUGAGUGCUUUGCCAUUAAAUGAACACUUUUGCAAUGUUCUUGGUUCAUGUUCUGCUGGUUGUUGAAAAAAGUUAAAUAAAUGUCAUAAAAAAAAUUGUCAUAAUAACAAAAAAAAGGCACAGAGGCAUCGACAUGGCACAGCGGUGGCAGUCCACCCAUGCAGCCCACCACCACAGCUUCAAAAAAUCCUAGGGGAAACCCUGGACUGCCAAUGUGAACAAGGAAGUAAAGAUGCAGUUGGGCAAUAUAGAAACACAUUUUAGUGGUUCGGCAUUUGACAAGCAUGUUUGAGCACUGAUCAGGGACAAACCACAAUUAGCAAAAAUGACGAUGAUUGGCCAAAAUGUGCAGGGAUUGGUUGAAUUUGGGUGAAUUGAUGUGAAGGCAACACCGCACAAUCCUGGAGGGUUAAUUGUAUAGUUGGGACUGGAUACUAGACAGCUAGUUCGCAUAGACAGCUACUUUGCAUCGAUCCGAGCACUACCGAGGUUCUCUUGAGCAAGUCACCAAAUGUAAACUGUCGUGCUCAUUAGUGUGCAGCCCCCUGCAGAUGUUCUAUUACAUUACCUGAAGUUUGGUAAGCUGUUGCAAAAGUAGAGACCAGACUGCACAAUUGGAGUGGAAAACACAGAAUACAAGUUCUUCAGAAGUGCAGAUGUGCAAUAAAAGAGAAUGCUGUGUUUUUGUUUGUCCAAAAAGAACUUAAAAUGGAGUUGCUGCAGUAGACUGAUGGAAUGUAUCGGUUGAAUUUUUGUAUUAAGACAAACCAACCACGUGCAGUACACACUGCACUUGGGAAACUUUUGGUGGCUAAAUAUUUGCAUGCAACUCCUACUGAAGGAUAAAACCAAUUCCCCUUUAAACUCUCCCCCCGCUGUCUCUGCACCUCCUUUCCUUGAUGCACUCAUCUGUUUACGUCCUUUUUCUGUUGCACCCCCACACGCUCCACCGUUGGGGGACUUGCUCCUUUCAUUUACACAUCCUUCUGAUCAUUCUCUCCUUUUAAUCAAGCCUGAUAGUACUUCUUAAUUAAGACAUCACAGUUGCUGUUUGAUCACGCUUGCUUUUCUGAGAGAAAGCGAGAGAGUAUGGGAGACAGAAAAAACAGACAGUCCAGGCUCUUAGACGGUGUGUGAAGAUGACUGAACAGCAUCAGUUGGGCCAGUUACACCUCCUCCAAAUCUGCUCCGCUAUAGCACCUGCGGUUUGAGCUUCUCAUUAUGAGGGCCACGGAUGAGCUAGAGCCUAUCCCAGCUGUCUUUGGCCAGGCACAUCUGAGGUGAAGAGCUCCGGGUCAACAAAUGGGUGGAAAUGAGCAAAGAAUAUAAGGAUGCAAAACAACUUGGAACCUUGGACCAUGCCCAGCUGGUGAUGGAGAACUGGCAUGGGUCCGAGUGUGAGCUGAUGUGGCCAGGCUCUCGGCACCCCCUGUUGUUCCUGACGAGGCUUGGUGGGAAAUUACCCGGCGCCCUCUCCUGUAACUCGCUGUUUAGUUGUAAUAAGCCGGGUCUCUCCUGGUUGCGCCCAGCUGGCGCCCUACGAGUGGGCUGGGCAGAGGCAGGAGGCUGUGCCAGCUCUACUGGUGCAGAAUGGGGCACACCAGGCAGACAGGCCCAGUGUCAGCAGCAGCAGCAGCAGCAGCAGCAGCAGCAGCAGCAGCAGCAACAGCAACUAUCCCCCUGGCUACAGCACAAACAUAUGCCAGCAUCCUCCAUGUUUGUGUAUAUACAGAGGCAAAUGAAGCUUUUAAGCAGAGUGGAGGGAUGUGGGUGAGAGGAAGAGAGGGAGGGUGGUGGCUUACCCCUGAAAAGAUUAAUUGACUUUCUGCAGAGCGUCACUUAUCCUCCAUCAACACCUUUGGUGAGUGCAUGUGUGUUUGGACUACAAGAAUAGAUCACCAACAUGUGCAGCAAUUUGAGCAGAAAUAUCAAAGUAUCGAACCAUCAGUCAUUUUGUCUGCUUGUUACCUUAUUUUCUAUUGUGUUUAACAUUCUAACAUUGUUUGUGGCCCUCAAAUUUCAUGCAUUAUUUUAGGGUAAUACCAAUGUUACCAAGAAAAUUCAGAAAAUUGCCAUCAUUGCCAUCAUGAAACCAGUUUGACUCUACAAGCAACGUUUAACAUUCCUAACUGUCAUACAAGUGAAAAGAGAAGUCAAACCUCAACUCAAGUAAAACUAUUCCCAUUAUGGCAGGGGUGUCCAAACUUUUCCCACCGAGCAUUCUGAAAAAUCAAAAGACGUGGGGUGUCAUUUUAAUAUUUUUUAAAUAUUUUUUAAGGCUGUGAAAUGAUUACAAAUUUUUAAUCAAAUUAAUCACAGUUUUCAGAUUAUUUAAUUAUCAUUAAUCACCAUUUGCAGCUUUGUGUGAAAUGGGCCCCUUUUUUUUAACAUACUUUAUGAACAAAAAGAUGAAUGACAGGACACAAUUUUAUGUAUUAACAGCUCUAAAUGAACAGAAAAUUAAAAUGUAGCACACGUCUAAAAAUCUAUUUGCCCAACAUUAGUUUCUUUAAUAGUAGCCGAACAUUUGAAUCACGCUCUAAGAACAUUUGAAUCACACUUUAACAUUGUUAUUAUGAACCACGCACGGUGGCCGAGUGGUUAGCAUGUUGGCCACACAGAUCAGAUCUGCGUUCAAAUCUCCGCUUGGGCAUCUCUCUGUGUGGAGUUUGCGUGUUCUCCGUGUGUACUCAAAAGCAUGCAUGUUAGGUUAAUUGGUGACUCUAAAUUGUUUGUCUGAAGACUUGAUUAUUGACAGACUGCUAUGAGGCAUCAUUUUGCUAUGAGUUACGGUGGCACCUCGGUUAACGUCCGCCCUGGUUAGCACGUUUUUCGGUUAGCAUCCAAACUUUUUGGUAAAAUUUUGCCAUGGCUUGCAUUCGCCUCCUUGUUUAGCAUCCAAAAUACCAUCCGGGUUGUUUACGCUGCCAUCUUCGAUCAUGUGCCAAAGACGAAAUUUCGUGCUACUUGCAAGUGAUUGCGCAAUGCAUUGUGGGCCGCAGGCAGCAUUUCAGAGCAACAGCGUUUGUUUAUAUCAGAUUUGCUGUGCUCGAGACAGAUAUACGCCCUAACAAAAUACAUGGACCGUACAAAAGAGAAAGCUGAUGGACCGUACCGAGACAAGGGUGCAAGACCACCCAAUUUUAUGGCUUAAAGAGAAGAUCGUUGUCGCAUGGCUCAGACGUGGCUCCGUCAUCGGCUGCGAUGCACACACACAUUCAUGCAAACACAUCUCCGGUUCCUGCACAACAGUCUGUCAACCCGGCAGGGCAUCAAGGGUGACACUGCCUGUGUCAUUUUACAUCCAUAACACUCAUUUCUUUUUCCAACAACAAAACAUAAGCAUUCAAACUUACUGUACUGCGGAGGUAAACACAGUACAUGUCACCAAACACCUUAUAUGGCAUCCUCGCUGGCGUACUUCCGGGACAUCACUGCCGGUAGCAGUUGUUAAACGGCAAGGUACAUAUUUAUUUGGUUCUAGAACAUUUAUAUUUAGUUUGAUAUAUUUUUUUUUACAUUUUUACAAAUUGUGGUUGCAGCAGCAUAAUGUGUUUAUUUUGUGUUAUUUUUGGGGUUUUCCCAACAAAACCGGUAAAAGUGAUGUUAAAUGUUCAGUUGUCCAUUCAUUUGUCAUUUGUAAAUAUUGUCUGUAAAAUGUGUUUUGUGUUAACAUUUGUCUGUGUCUGUAACGGGUUAAUUGGAUUUACAUUAUUUUCUAUGGGAAAAUUUGCUUUGGUUAAAGUCUGUUUUGGUUUGAGUCGGCCCUUCUGGAACGGAUUAAUGACGUUAACCAAGGCACCACUGUAGUUCUUGGAUUCUAUAGUGUAUAGUGUAUAGCCGACACUUUUGGCAUAACUGUGUUAGUUCAGAAAAAAAUACAGAGUCAACCGCUGAUGACGUCAUAGAUAGACGAUGAAGCUAGGGUGCCAUGCUAACACGAUGCUAACAGGGACGUUUUGCAAUAAAAAUAAGUUCUGAACACAGUUGGACAUACGCAAUAUAGAUAGAUGCACGCGGCAUACUAGAGUAUAUGCUAAAAAGGAAAAUUUAUAGAUAUAGAAAUAUAGAAAAUGGAUUGAUGGAUAGACAACACUGCAACAGACGCUGGUCAUUUCAUUAGGCACACCUUCUCAAUUCAAUGCAAGAGCUCUUUAAAAAAAACAUGUCAUUACGUCAAAAACGAUGGUUAUUAUUGUUACCGUAUUUAGCUACAUUGGAGGGGUUAAAUAUUAGACAUCUCUCAAUAGGAUGUAGUGCUUUUCUACAACCACAGUAAUAAGCAUAACGUUAAAUGAAUACGUCUCUGACAGUGUCAAUCAAACAUAGAGACGUAGUUUUUAUGUUGAUUCUCAUUAGUUUGUACAGGCAGAGCAGGCCCCACCCUUGGCGAGACUUUAUACGGCGCCCCCCUCCAUCUGUGAUUUACAUAGCUUGCAAAAUAAAUUGAAUGGCGUUGUUUUUAUCGUUGUCUUCAAUUUGUAAAAUAACAUGUCAGCCAAUUUACAGGGUUAACAAAUUACAAAUAAAUACAAAAAUAAAUCAAUACCAUCCAUCCAUCUUCUAUGCCGCUUAUCCUCAUCAGGGUCGCGGGUAUGCUGGAGCCUAUCCCAGCUGAUUCAUACCUAUGGACAAUUUAGUGUCGCCAAUUACCACACGGGCAGAACGUGCAAACUCCACACAGAGAGAUUCGAAGCCGGGUCUUCCCGAUCUCCUGACUGUGUUAACCACUUGCUAACCACUUGCUAACCACUCAUCCACCAUGCGGCCCCUUAUAAAUACAACAAUCAAACAUUUUGGGGAAUUUUUUCCCAUUUUUUUUGGCAGCCGUGGCGGACUUAGCAUCCUCUGUUUACAGGUAUACCCUACGUAUACCAAUGCACACAUAACACAUUCUCAGCUUAUUCCACCAACUUUGAGCACAUAUCUGGAUUUGAGAGAAGAGUCACACAUGAGGAUGUACAGAGAGUAACGUCCCCCAGCCCCACCCGCCUGCUGUAAACACCACCACCACCACCACCACCCACAGCUGCACACACUUCUCCUGUCACGGUGAUAAUCUCUUUGUCACUGGCCGUCUGUUACACAUUUGAACGUCUGAUUCGGUGAAUGUCCGAGUGGCAGGUUUGACUUUAGUGCCACAGGAUGUCUAUGGCUGUGCGUGCGUGUGUGUGUGUGUGUGUGUGUGUGUGUGUGUGUGCGGGGGUGUAUGUGUGUGUGCGUGUGCGUGUAUGUGUGUGUCUGCACCCAGUGCCAUAGGUGGUGGGAUCUCCAUCCCUGUCAAAGUGUGUAUGUGUCCAGACUUCCAGCUAGAAUGUUAAACAAAGGACAAAGAUCUGUUGUAAAUGUUGAAAUUUGUUGUUAUAUUUUCUCCACAAAUUUACUUUUCAGGUAGCUUUAAAAAAUAUUCCUUUUUGCCUUAUCUUAUGAUAUUUGUGCAAAAAAACAAACAUUUCUGUCCCCAGUGCACCAAGCAAAGUCUAUUAAGGCAUGCUUGGAUGAAUUUGGUGUGAAAGAGCCCCUUUGGGAUGACCGAGAACAGAUGAUGAAAAUACACCAGACUGAAAGCUGUCAUAGCUGUAAAGUGGGGACCAACUUUCCUAUCAGUGUGAUGCACAGGAUAUGGCACUGGCCAGCAGCCCGCAGCUCCAGCUGUGAUUUUUUUUUUCACACCAAAGAAGAAGAAAUGUUCAUUUUCGAAAAGAGUCACCUAGUCACCCCUAGUCCGUGAAUGCAUCUACACUGUGUUCUGACUGGAUGAGCAAGAGAAGAGGGAAGGGGUCAGUUUCUUCAGUCAGUGAGACACGAAAAAGAUGUCUUGACAGUGUGCUUCCCCCGCGGUUAGCUAUCCAUAACCAUGAAUACACCAUAACUGACUGCAUGCAGUGUGAAGGGUCGGUGGGGUAUGCCGGAGCCUAUGCCAGCUGACUCUGCGACGAGAGGGUAGAGUACACACUGGACUGGUCGCCAGCCAAUCGCAGAGCACCUAUAAACAAACAACCAUUCACACUCACACGUCGCUACGGACAAAUUAGAGUCACCAAAUAACCUAACAUGCAUGUUUUUGGAAUGUGGGAGGAAACUGGAGUGCCCGCAGAAAACCCACGCACGCACGGGGAGAACAUGCAAACUCCACAAAGAAUUACACACACGAACGCAUACACACAGUUCAGUUCCAAAUUUAAAAAUGGUAAAUACAGUAGUUCAUGGUUUUAUAUUUGUAAAUAAAUUGUUAUUUUUCUGAAAACAACCCUUUUUUGUAUUGUUUAUGUUGUGGUAUAGUUGUUUAGAGCCGUCAAAAAUGCUAAGAAAAUUUGUGGCAAAGUGCAAGUUAUGCUUGAAAUGUAUCUUUUCACAAAAGCUUUUUUGUUGGGAACUGAUAUUUUCCUGAAACUUAUCUAUGUUCUACUGCUGAUUACUAAAGAACGGAAAAAGGUAGAAACAAACUUUUUUUUUUCUGAUGAAAGACAAGAGCAUAAUAUUUCUUUUGGUACGUUCCAUGUUUAUAUAGCCAUAGAACACAAUAUUCUGUGUGCCUAGAAAUCAAAAUCAGUCCAAAUCAUCUAAAAGGAAGGGGUUGAAAUUUGAAAAAUGGCUGGGAUUAAGUUAAUUUAGGCAAAAUGUAUGUAACAUUUGCCUAAAUAUGUAUUUUUACUAAUAAUAUGCUGUAUUCAAUCAUAAAAGAGCAUGAUUGAUGAAUUAAUAUAUUUUUGAAAGACCGUGAUAGAGUUUAACCAUGAAAUUUGAAGUGCGAAGUGGCGAGGGAGGACUGUACAGUGGAAAGUAAUUACGGAUUGUUUAAGUAGAUUUCCUUGUUUACUACAGCGGUCAGCCCUUGAACUGGAUCGAAUUUUUGGGUUUACCUAAUCUUGUUGCGCAAAUGCACUUGAUUUUGCUGUGCCUUUAAAUUUGGCUUUGAAGCAAGCAGUCUGCUUUCAUUGCACACAUUCAGGAAAAGGAGUAUUAUCACAACUUAGUUCCUAUAAAGCUGAAGCAUUGCAGUAUAUUGUGCAAGCAUACCUAACAUAUUUGAGGGGAGAACCCUAUGGAUAUCCUUUAAGCAAAUGAGUUAGAUUAAUAUGAAAUAAUAUGUUGACGUUAUUAACAUAGAAAGUACGAAAGACACACUAAUUGCCGGUGAAAGUUUUUGUUUUUCUUCAAAAAGCUUCUUUUCCUUCUUUUGCCUUUCAGCCCCCCACCCACCCCCUACCCCCUUGCCUGGCGACACCUUCUUCUCCUUGCUCUAUCUGUUGUUUGCUCUCCUCUUGUCACUCCACUGCAAUCAUCCUUGCAGGGGGCCUUGUCAUCUCUAUCUACUCAUAUCCUGCACUCCCUUUUUGCUUGGAGCACUACUGCACUUAAAUGUCAGGCCUGAUGAGCCGGCCACACCCACCUGCCACAUCAGCUCAGUGCCUGCUAAAAGCUUUUAUAGAGGAGAGUGUGAGCCUGGUGGUUGAUACAAAUUAAAUACUUUCUUGUUCCUUUUUUUGGUUCUUUUAAAGGGACGCAGGCACUGAAGAGCAAUACUUUCUGGAAGGAGAGGGAAUGUGAGAAAUGGAGUGGGACAGGCUGCCAUCCAGUGGCUUCACGAGCACAUAGAUGCCACUGGUAAUAAAUAUACAGUCACAAGAGUACUCAUAACAAUGCCACAUAUGGGGUUAAAGUGAAUUUACAUUCUGGCUGCAAAUAACACAGGAAAGUGUUUUGUUAUGCUUUAUUAUAGUUUUUUUUAACAUGAAGUUAUUCAUAUUCUUUCUCAAAAUGGGAAUAAGCAGUGUUUUAAAUAGUAAAUUAGAAGUCACCAAGAUCUUUUAGAAUGGUGAGAUUGUAUUAUCUCAAACAUUUUAGAUAAGAAAAUGGUGAAACUAUGACCAUGGUGGAUGACCUUAAUGCUUUUCCUUUAUAUCUAUAAGACAACUUAAUCAACUACUUUGUCACUUUUGGGUCGUUUUACCCAUGAAUAAAAAUACACUCACAAUUUAGUAUGAUUUUUUUUUGUUUCUAAAUGCGCUGCUGAAUACAGCAGCAUUUUUCUCUUUCAACUCUCCCACAAAUUCCAGCUUUACAGAUGCCAGGUCUACUUGAAGUGUGUUGUUGUUUCAAGUGGACACAAUGCAAUACAUGCAUUUAUUAUAUUAAUUUAAGGAAAUAGUAUUAAGUUACCAUAACAUUUUAAAUGUAUAUAUAUUUUUUAAUCAUUUCAUUGACAAUGUUGCAAUUAGAGCUAUGUUGUCUUGGGCUAAAAACUUGAGUGUGGGAGAAGUUCGGUGAGGCAAUGGAGCACGACUUUCGGUCAGCCUCGAAGAUGUUCUGGCAAACCAUCCGGCGCCUCAGAAAGAGGAAGCAGUGCCCGGUCCACACUGUUUACAGUGGGGACGGGGGCCUGCUGACCUCGACUGAGGAUAUAGUCGGACGGUGGAAGGAAGACUUUGGAAGGAAGACUCUCAAUCCCACUGACAUACGUUCCAUAGAGGAAGCAGAAUCUGACGACACAAACGCGGACAGUUCCAUCACCAUGGCUGGGGUAUCACCGGAUCGUCGUGGUGAAGAAAGAGCUGGCAAGGCAAAGCUCUCAAUUUACCGAUCGAUCUAUGUUCCCACCCUCACCUAUGGUCAUGAGCUUUGGGUUGUGACCAAAAGAACGAGGUUGCGGAUACAAGCGGCUGAAAUGAGUUUCCUCCGUAGGGUAGCUGGACUCACCCUAAGAGAAAAGGUGAGGAGCUCGGUCAUCCGGGAGGAGCUCAGAGUAGAGCCACUGCUCCUUCACAUCGAGAGGAGCCAGUUGAGGUGGCUCGGGCAUCUAGUCCGGAUGCCUCACGGACGUCUCCCUGGUGAGGUGUUCCGGGCAUGCCCAGGAUUAUGUCUCACAGCUGGCCUGGGAACGCCUUGGUGUUCUGCCGGUGGAGCUGGACGAGGUGGCUGGGGACCGGGAAGUUUGGGCUUCCCUACUGAGACUGCCAUGCCCGCGACCCAGACCGGAAUAAGUGGAGGAAAAUGGAUUUGAUGGAUGGAUUUUAUUCAAUAAAAUAAAAAAAAAAAUUACAUUUAUAAAGGGCUUAAUUUAUACAAUGGAGUAUUAGGGCCACAUUAAAAAAAAAAGAUUUCGAGAAUAAAGUCAUAAAUUUACGAGAAAAAAAUGUCAUGAUAUUACCUUUGCCCAAGGCCAAAGGUCACAUAAGUCACCCCUUUUCAUAGCUGUCUCAGGCAAUGCCUGUUACGACGCAAUAUUAAAAUAUUCUGAAAUUUUGAGAAUAAAGUUGUACAUUUACAACAAUAAAAUAAUAAUAUAAUAAUACAUUUUAUUCUCGUAAAUGUACCACUUUUUUCUUGUAAAUGUACCACUUUUUUUUCUUAAAUUUACGAAAAUAAAGUCGUAAAUUUACGACUUCAUUCCCAAAAUGUCAGGGUUUUUAUUCAACGUGGCCCUAAUACUCCACCGUGUGUGUGAAAUUUUACUUUGAAAAUUUGAAUGAGGAAAAAGGCACAUAUGUUCAAUUCCAUCUCUUAUUGUUAUUAUGAUUUAAUUGGACCAAUGUACUGUUAGAAUAUUCACAAACAAGUAAAACACAUUGCUUGCGUUAAAAGAGUCCAUCAGGUUGUAUUUGCACCAUUUCUGUGUUAUAUUUAGUCAUCUCUCACAAAUACAAACAUGCUAGGACACAUUCUGUAAUGACUCCUAUUCCCAAUCUUGUCCUUUAUUUGUAAAACUUUGGCAUAUUAACCAACCAUGUCAAUGAUUAGCUCGGUAUAGACAGUAUUUACAUCCAUAAAUCGAUGCACGACACAGUAUCAUACCAUAUACACGGUCUGCACGCACAAUAUUUACAGUCUGAAUGCUUUCUCACAACUGUACAUUAUACACAAUCUAACCUUGUCCAGGUGAUUUGGCGCGGUAGUAUGUACACUCUAAAUAAAUAAAUAAACUAUUUACAGCUUUAUCUCCAGCAUGAGUUUUACCAACAUAAGAGGAAAUAGCAACUCAGCUAUGCAGUGCAAAUUGAUUCAUCCAGGCCAAUCACGUUUGCUAUAUCGCUACUAACUGAUUAAACAUAAAACAUGAUUACUAUUGUGUGGAUCUCAACCCGCUUUUCUACAGAGACAUUGCACAGCAAAAGGGUGCUACUUCAGUCUUACCUCGUAUCGCGUGAUUGCAUUGACGUAUUAUCUGUUCUGCAGGAAAAAUAUAGUUUAUAUAUACAUUUCUGACACAGUGGUUGUCAAACGUUUGGGCUUUCAAAAGCUACAAGCAAACAGAUGCAGAAAUGGUAGCCACAGUACUUGACCGCACACGCACAGGAAGAUUGAGCGUGGCGUGCACGAUAAGAGCCAUGCUGUACCCUACUUGUCAGCCACAGUUUAACAUGUCAUACAAAGCAACACAACAAUUUGUUCAACAUAAAUAACUGCACUGCUACCUUGUCUAUAUGGGUGACUAACCUCUUUGUAAGAAUUUAAGGCUGCAUCUAUGGAGGACAGCUACAAAUACUAACUAUCAGGUGAUUUUGCACAUUAAGAGCAAUUAGACUGCCAUCGGCUAAUGUUCACAUUGACAUGAUAUUUCCAUUUACAACAUGCAUGUAUCUCUAGAAUUCAAAAGACUGAUUAGAUGAAACACAUCAUGAUUGACACUGUUAUAUAAAUAUACUGUGGAGGAGAAACGUGUGUGAAUGAGAUGGAAGCGGACUAUUUUUUUUUUAACCAAUUCUGGCUACUUGAUCAAUACUUUCUGAUGAAGAACAUACUGUAUCUCACUACAGGUUUAAUAUUGAGCGAUGUAUGACCAAACAAGGGUAAAACCUUCACACUGCUCUAAAGUCUACAGGUUACAGGAUGUAAUGUUGAAAAUGUGCAUUUUAAUACUGUUUUUCCAGUGUCAAAAUGAUGAACCCAUGACUAAAAUAUUUGCUAACCAAUCAUUUUAAAUUUACUAGAACACUGAUACAAUGGAACCUCGGUUUUCGAACGCCCCAGUUUUCAUGUUUUGUUUGUUGCCAAAAACGUUUGUCCGGUUUUUGCCCUGGUUUUCGUACACUAUCUCAGUUAUCAUACAACAUCGCACGUCACAAACUAGUCCGUUCCCCCUGUACUAUAUCCUCGGUGUCAAAGCACUCUAUGCGUUAUGCGUUGGUGAUUUUUUUUUUAAUGAAACUUCAAAAUAACCCGCCACAGACAGUCAGAGAGCAAAAUUAACUUAAAGUUGAUGGCUUUUUGACUAGUUGGGCGCUUGUUUUCUACAAUUUACCUGCUAGCUGUCGAGUCUGGCUUGCAUUUGGUGCUGGAGACUGCACAUCUGCCAAAUGGACCUAUGAAACAAUGCCGGCAAAUUAGCGAGCGAGCUAACUCCAAUGCCGCCCGGCCCAUCUCUCAGCUGCUCGGUCUCAAUGGGUGAUUCCCUCACCCAUUGUCACUCACAAAACACCUUGGACUUCUACGUCCACCCGACUAUAUCCGCAAAAGGUCUCAUAAAAGGUUUGUUUACCUACGGUGUCGCUAUAAUUCGCCCCAGAGUGAGUGUUUGGAACUGAUUCAUUGGAUCUACGUUACUUCGUAUGUCGUUAUCUCCUAUACGUUUCUGUUGUUGUCUUACCUAUUGGAACGGCUUAAUGAAGAAAACCGAGGUUCCACUGUAUUACACUUAUUGGACACUUUAUUAGGCACAGAUGCACGUAUCAGGAGAUCCUGCAUUAUGUGUAGCCAAAAUAUUAGACACCUCUCUCAUUAUGAUGUAUUGCAGUUCAACGUGCUCACCACAAUAAAUCUACUGUUAAACUAAUCAAUCAAAAUCAGAUGGCACAGCUCUUGUAGAAAGUGUACCUAAGAGCGUACUUUUGUAAUGACAACUGAGAGAGAACCAGUGGAUCUGACAAAGGCCACUGCAACUUUAGGAACCAGGAUAUCCAAUUCCAGAGGCAAGCGUGAAGAACAGUUAUCCUCUCUAAUUAUUAAUAGUGUUCGUUUCUAUCAUCUAACCCUUUUCUUUUAGGUCUGAAUCGAUGACAACGCUCCCAACUUUCUUCAUUUCUCGACGCUGGGCGAGGCCAGAGGACUGUACAGGCUCCAGGACUGGGGUUGGAGCACAGCGCCUCAAAGCCGAAUAGGUGGCGGACAGCGCCCCCUGGUGGAUAAUACAAAGUAUUACUGCGCUGUUUUCACUAUUAAAUAAGCGGCAAACACCACCACCUAAUGGACAUACUGAGAAAGACAAGUAUAUUCGUAGACGUUUGGCUGCUGUUAGAAUUAAUAGAUAAUUAAAGUACAGAAGGGAAAAUGUUAGAAAAUCAUUUUUGUCGGGAUUUUGAUAACUGAUAUUUAAUGUUAUAUAUUUUUGCAUGCUUAAGCGAACAGGUCUGACCUUGACAGUGAGCACAUCUUGUCUCGUGAGGACUCUGUCAGAGAGCUGGUCUCUCUCGACAAUCCAGGGAUGGCGAAGGAUCUAAAACAAACAAACACAACAAUAAUAUUGUAUUUUUUAUUAUCUACAGGUGUCCCUAAAGUUUCCAGGCUGUGUACAAAUAUCAUAUCUAUAUUUUAUAUUGGUUAACAUUUUUAAAUAAGUGAGGAUAAGCGGCAUAGAAGAUGGAUGGAUGGACUUUUAAAUAAUUCAAAGUACCUGUGGAGCAGUCAGGCGCUGGUGGGGGUCCACAUGGAGCAUCUUAGUCACAAUGUCCUGUUAUACAUAUGCAGACAAAUGGGAGAUGCUGGAAUUGGACUGACUAAUACUAGUCCUUGUGUGUCUCAACAAUAGGACAUGCUAUGUAUGUACAGGUAUAUCUAACCUUGGCAGCGUCUGACACCAGGUCCCAAUUACCGCCACUGAUGAUGAAUUUCCCACAGCCGAUUUGAGCCAGAAUUUCCUCUGCUGAGUCAUCAGGACAGCUGGCAAAUGGACUGAAACUUAAGGUAAAUAGUAGAAGAAAGUGGGUGAGGGCAGAGAGGCAUUCACAACAUUUGUCCACACGUUUCAUAUCAAACAAGGGGAGGACCAGUAUAACCAUUACAUUUGGAAGCUACAGGUCUGUCAUUGAUUGUUAAACUAACCCAGCGAUGAUGGUGUAAAGCAGGAUCCCCAAGCUCCAAAUGUCACAUGCAGCAUCAUAACCUUGCUUCUUCAGAACCUGCACACACAUAAACACACGUAGCGCAGCUCCAAGUUAUUUAUUUCGUCCUUUAUAGGGCACUCGUUAAAGUAAUAAACUCAAAAUCUCAAUUUUAGGCUGUUAUUAUGGAGCACUUGACACGACUUGAGAUUUUUCAAAACUCAAUAUACAGUGCUAAAUCUUGGACCCAAAGCUAGUGGUGACCUUAAAGGAAAAAGCACUGGCGGAGUAACACAACAUCUCACUAGUCUCAGCGUCAUUCACAACGGCUCAAGCCACUGCUGAGCAGCUACUACUGCAGCUGGCUGUGUUGUUUGAGUUUUGAAAAGUUAACGCUAGGUUAUAAAUCAUCAUAGCCACUGAAAUGAUCAAAUAUGGCUCCUAAUAUAGAGAUACUUAAGAUACUAAAUUAGGUGGCUUUUAAUUUACCUCUGGUGCCAUGAAUGUUGCUGUGUAACAAGGGGUCAUCAGUAAGCCAUUUUCAGCCCUCAGCUGUUUGGCAAAACCAAAAUCACAUAUUUUGAGGCAUUCUGAGAGUCCUCUGUCAUCAGAGUAGCGAAUGUUGCUGGGUUUCAGGUCCCGAUGCACAACCUAAAAAAUUGGUUUUAGAUUUUUUUAUGGCAAUCAAAAGUGGUCUGCAUUGCAUCAUUUUUAUCUGCAGUCCAAUGAAAACAAUGCAGUUGUUGGCUCAGUCUUACCCCCUGGGAGUGUAAAUAUUCCACAGUCUUGGCCAGUGUGCAGAUGAUGUCUGAUGCGUCUUUCUCUAUGAAAUUUGGCACCGUCAAUACUCGGUCCAGCAGCUCGCCUCCUCUCAAUAAAUCCUGAACCAGGUACACACAGUGGCCAUCAUCAAACACCUGAAGAUGGGAAGACAAGCACAUUUAUAUAGAGAAGUCAAUAAACAAAUGCAGGCAUUAUUUGUGACGGUUGUGUCAAUUCAUGUUCUUUAAAGUUGCUGUCAUGAAGUUUAACUCACGUCUUUUAGUGUAAUGAUAUUAGGAUGCUGUCCAUAUCUUAACAGGAUCUCAACCUCUUCAGAUGGAUCUUUCCUUGCUUUGUCAAUGAUCUGCAAAAAAUACAAAACACACACACACACACAAUAGCAACUCUUAAAUAUGCACUCACAUAAGUACACUUAAACAUAUAAAAUCAAGAUGAUAUAAUGAUAAAGAAAAAAUACAUGACAAUAGUACGAUAUAUAUAACAAGAGUGGUAUCAAAAUGUUGCUUGUACAAAGAUACAAUGGUCAGUGGAGAGCACUACAUCGUACCAAAGAAAGUUGUUAAUAUUUUGGUUAUCUUGGAAACCAUAUUAGCAACACCCGCGCAUUAUACCGUUCUACAGUAUUAGAAAAAUCACAAUAAUAUAUUGAAUACUGUUAAAUGAAUACUUCUUUGACAUGUUAAAAAUAGAAAUAAGAUUUUGCUGGGUGCCUGCACAUGUAGGGGUGGAGGGGAAUGAGGUGGCAGAUAAAAUGGCUAAAAUGGGAAUUAGAAGGAAUGAAAUUAUAAAUAUACCUGCUGGUAAAGGCAAAGUAAAGGCAAUAAUCAAAAAACAAAUGAUGGAGAAAUGGCAAAAUAGGUGGGACGAGGGUAGUAGCGGGAGAAAGUAUUAUAAAGUACAAAGAUCUAUCAGUGCACAAGGGGUGAAGAGAAAAAACAGAAAAGAGGAAAUAGUGUUAGGAUGAAAUAGGAAACUAGGAUGAGGCUCAAUCACACCGCGUUAAAUGACAAGAUGUUUUUGGUUGGGAAAUGUAAAUCAAAAGUAUGUAUGGAGUGCAAAAGUAUAGAGAACGUAGAACACAUAUUACUACACUGCAAGAGAUAUAGGGAAGAACGUGUAACGUUAAGGAAAAGAAUUAAGAAGAUAGGAAGGGAAUGGAGCAUUGAGGGUAUCUUAGGAACAGGUGGGGAGGGGGUAAGAGAUAUACAGAGGGCAGUGAUAGAAUAUUUGAAGGACACAGGAUUAUAUAAUAGAAUAUAGAUAAGUAUUAGAAUAUUUUAUUAUAAGUAUUAUUAUUAGGAUUAUUAGUAGUAGUAGUAUAAGUAGUCUCCUCAUUAUCUAAGUUAGCAUAAAGUAAGAUACUGUAUAUGGCCCAUGUUACAUACUCUGGUACAGUAGCUGGCGGUAUGCACCUUUUAAAGUCAUGGUUGCAACCCGCCAUUAAACUAAAAAAAGAAGAAGAAGAAUACUUCUUUGUGCAGGCCGUACCAUAAUCACGUCAUAUUAAACUAGUAAAAAAAGUAUUUUGAUUGGUUUGGACUUCCGGGUCACAUACCGGAAGUGAAGGCAGGAGACGCAGCCAUACUAGUAAAGUAACAAAAUAACCGGAUAAAGUCAAAAUAAGGAGUAAGGCUUUGAGAGUAGUAAGCUCAACUUUCAAUUUAACGUAGUUUACUGCACAAUGUCUGUGGAGGUGAUCACAGCAGUUUGACAUGAACGCGUACAAUGCCGACAUUGUACACAUUUAAUAACAGUCUGGGGCCAACAACUUCGCCCAACAAGAUGGUGGAAUUUUUACGCUACUUCAAGUGGAUCCACUGUUUUGUCACUCUGUGUCCAAUGUCACUUAAGACGCAUCCAAAAGUGCGUUCAUUGCGCCCCCGACGGUGACGUCACACAGCGAGUCUACCAACCACUGACCAACCGAAGAAGAAGACAGCCAAGUAGGUGUCAUCUAAUGGUCAGUAUGGAAAACAACAAUAAUAGUGGGUCGACGAAAACCGUAAUCAUUUGUGUGCCUUGGCAGUGUAUCGAAGCAACAUUUGAACUAAUUAAAACAUAUAUCACCUAAAAACGAUAAAGCCAAUGUUUUGAAUAGAAAAUACAUGUUUCUGAAGUAUAGGUAGGUUUACAGUACAGUGUAAAUGACUCCAUCCACACUAGUUGAGUGUUUUUGAUACUAAAGCCCAAUCAGUAACUCAGUAUGAAACCUGUUUCACAGUCUUUUACUUGUCCAUCCGACUCAAACUGGGUCUCCUCAGCGGUUUUGUACAGGUUGGAACAUGUCUGGAAUCCUUUGCUAUCGUCAUGUCCCACUGUGUGUACAAUCCAUCCUGGGAUGCUGGUCGACCUUCGAUUUGUUCUAAUUUUGAAAAAUUGUAGAAUAGCAAAACUGAAACCAUCAUAACAAAUAUGAAUUAACUGUGCAGGCAAUGUUGUUCGCAACAUUUUCACAUGAUCAAUAAUCCAAGAAGUGUAAAAAGAAGUACUGCUGUUAAAAUGAAGAUGUAAAAACAAUAAAAUACUGUCAAAUUGUGAGGCAUAUGUGACACUGAUGUGAAUGCGAGCUUGCUUAUUUCAUAUAAUGCCUGAAAACAAUACAACAAUCUGUUUUAACCUUACACCUUAACCUGACAAACAAUGAAGACAUAAGGCAAAAGGGCAAUCCUCAUGUACAGUCAUCCCUCGUUUAUCAUGGUUAAUUGGUUCCAGAAUCAUUCACUGAUAAGUGAAUUUCUGUUAAGUCGGAUUCCUUAUUCAUAAAUUGAAAAUUUUCAUAGUUCGAGCAUAGAAAACCUGUUUACAACCUUGUAAAUAUGUUUUUUAACAUUACUAGAGCACUGUAGACAUGAACUAGCACACCAAUAGUCACCUUUACACUCCUAUUACCUAAUACGUAUUACCCAAAAGCCUACUGUUCAGUGAUCAAGUCUGGCUCUUGUGUGCCUCAUCAAACAUUAUUGUAACAUUACUGACACCUCGUGACCAGUCUACAAUACUUUGUCAGCGUCUUUAAAUUUCUCUUUUAAAUCCCUUAUACUGUAUUUGUAUUUUAGUUCACUUUUUAUGCUCGAAAAUGCUUAAUUUAGGCAAAAAAUACGUAAAAUUUGCUUGAAUGUGCAUGUUUUGACUAAUAGUAGGCGGUAUUCAACCCCAAAACAGCAUGAUUUAUUAAUUAAGUUUUUGAAAAACCAUGAUAGAUUGAAGCCGCAAAAUUCAAACCGUGAAGUGGCGAAGGACGACUGUACAUCCUAGUGCAGAAGCCUGUUACCUUCACUGAAUACUCCACUGCAGUAACUCUGUGAAGACAUCUCCUGUAGACUGAGUUGGCUGGCUGUCCAACGUCCUCCUUUAGCUCAUAAACGUCACUGAAGGCCACAUCACCACGGAGAUGCUGCAGAGACACACGUCAGCGUCAUCACUCCAACAAUGACCAGUUUGCAGUGACGAUAAGAGUUAGGAUUUAGGCCGUGGAGUAAUUGCUUAAAUACAUUGUGUACCUGUGCCACUGGGAUUAUGGUGUUCCCCUCCUGGUGAGAAGGUAGAACACUGGUCACACUGUGCUCCUGAUUUUGAUUUGUGGCAACAAAACUGAAACCACGGAACAGCUGGUGUGUGUUUGCACUGGGUGGUAUGCCAGGAGAGUCUGAAUUGGUAAAGACAUAUACAACCACAUGCAAGCAAAAUUAAUAUAAACAGUUAUAAGCUCGGAACAUUCACUUUGUGACUUGGCCUGCAUUCUUAUCAGCAAGGCCAUACUGAAAUAUUUAUGUAUAUUGUGUGUGUUUUGGUUACCAGUGGGUGUUCUAGAGGUGAAUUCCGGGUCAAAGUGAAAAGUAUCCUCAGGUCUUCCAACUGUUGGUUUGAACGGCGGCCUAAUUUCCUUCCUAUACAGCUUCUAAAGAAACAAAAAUUCUCCUUAGGAUUGUUGUCACUGAACAUAAACAAAUUUUAACCAGAAUCUUAACCAUCCAUUUUCAUCAUCAGAUUAGAUUAAUUUAACUGUAAUACUUAAUUUGGCCUUUAAGUGUCGCUACUGUAACGCGUUUUAAAAAAGUAAAAAAAAAAAAAGCCUAACAGGGGUGUCAAACUCGUGCCAUGGAGGGCUGAGACACUGCAGGUUUUCUUUCCAGCCCGUCACUAAAGCAGGUGAUUUUAAUGAUCAACACCUCCUUCAAUUUGAGAGAGGGAGUAAUCAAUUAAAUCAUCUGCUGGAGAAACUGGUUGGAGAGAAAACUUGCAGCGUUUCGGCCCUCCAUCGAGACGUGCCUUACAAUGCCAGCAAUUAUCCUCUCUUCACUUUCAUAUGCAAUAACCAAGUACAUCAGAACAAUUGAAUGCAUUAGCACCACUCUCAAUAAUAGCUUGUCAUACCAAGUCAGCAUAAUAGUUUGGUGAAAUGUAAUUUAUCAAAACAAUCAACGAUAAGAGUUCAAUUUAAAACUUUUUUGAUGAAUCUAUUCAUACUAAAUAUAUUAGUGCCUUUAAUGCAUGAGCAAACCUUCUGCCAAA